CCUUGGGAACGGAACUAAGGGAGUGACAGAUAUUGGGGAGGUAAUCAGUGACGCGAUGGAGUCCAGGUGUGCCUCAUAUUGAGGCGCAGGUGCGCUAAACGAUGUUGCCAGGGCCAGCGGUUAGUAAACCGGCGAUGUCCAAUGCCGAAGAGGGGGGAGCGGGAGUAGACGUGACACAAACGCAAGUAUUUCAUUUUUUGAGGAUUGGUUUCCCUGGUGAUUUUACCCACGCAUCGCUACUGGACUGAGCUCCGUACUUCCACUCUCUGUCGCCCACCCUGGAAUCCUUCUCUACACUAACACCUGAACAACCUGUGCUCGCCUAAUGUCAGAGAAAAGAACAGCCUCAAUUUGUGGAGGCACGGACUCUACAAGGUGUCGAAAGCAUUCCACAGGCCCGUGUUGACUCCAAUGCUUCUCACAGUUGUCAAGUUGGCUGGAUGUCCUUUGGGUGGAGGACCAUUCUUGAUACACACAGGAAACUGAGCGUGAAAAACCCAGAAGGUUUGCAGUUCUUGACACAAACCGAUGUGCCUGGUACCUACUGCCAUACCCUGUUCAAAGGCACUUAAAUAUUUAGUCUUGCCCAUUCACCCCCUGAAUGGCACACAUACACAAUCCAUGUCUCUGUCUCAAGGCUUAAAAAUCCUUAUUUAACCUGCCUUCUCCCCUUCAUUGACACUGAUUUGAAGUGGAUUUAACAAGUGACAUCAAUAAGGGAUCAUAGAUUUCACCUGGUCAGUGAAUGUCAUGGAAAGAUACUAGCAAUCGGGCAGUUAAUGUGAGCAUGUGCUCCGACGCCAUGGUUGUGGCUUAGUGCAUGUGCCAGGAAACUAGGAUACUGACUCGACAUGAUUCACUUUUACAAAAAAGGAAACACUACCCUCAAGGCUGCAAAUCACUUUUUGUAAGAGCAUGCAUGAGCAGCACAUUCGUUCUAUUAUGCACAUUCCGAAUAAAAAGAAAGUGAGUAUUUAUGUCUGGUAUUAAUUUCGCAAGAUAAGGAGGGAACCCUUCAAGCUGAGCUGCUCCAUACCUGCAUAUUUCUCCACCAAAAUUCCUUAAUCAGAGAAAGGGGAAGAAUGAGGCUGAUAAGUUGAAGUGCCAUAAAUCAUGCUGUAUAAAUAGUAACUCUCAGAUCCACACUGCAUAGCCACUGCUCAUACCAGCGGCUUGAUUAUUUGGGUCAGUGGAGUUCUUGACAUUUUUUAAAAAGGGGAACGCCCUCCUUCUUAAGCAGAUGUCUUGGUCCUGCUGUUGCUGCAAGGAAGGUUACAAAUGUGAACAAGCAGCAUUUAGGUUUGGGUCGAGGAGCAGAUUCGCCAGAGCAGUUCAGAUUUUUCACUGACUUCAUCUUGUCAUUUGCCAAAAGUGGCUAUGAUGAUGAAGGGUGGGAGUUGACCUAAGGUGGAGUAUUGACACAGGUGGACUGGAAAUCAUUGCUCGUUAUCGCUAAGAAUAAGUCAGCACUUGUUGCAAAAGGUUGGAAUGGAGUAGAAUUGCAACAUAAAAUGUAAUUGUUUACUAAAGGUUUUCAUACAUAAUAAACAUGGAGAUUCAUACAUGAUGCAACAAUUAGCUACUGUAUACUGGAUGUAACAUUCUCUUCUUUGAAACUACAAUAUCCGUAACAUCAAUUGAUGACACCUUGUCCCCAAUGGUGCAACUAACUCCACUGUUUAUUCAGUAGUGGGAGGGCCUAUUCUGGCUGGACAUUAAAAAGCGGAGUGUUCCCUAUCUGCUUUAGAACAGUGUGAUUUAUUUUAUUUUUUCUCUCCCUGUGGCCCCAGGGGGAUGUAUGCAUUCUCCUGCCUCUCUCAAGCCAUUGCUCCCUGUUAAUGAGCCAUCCACAUGCCAAUGACACACCUGUCAGCCCUAAUCAACUGGUUUGCAUGGAACCCUGUAUCUGCCUUGUCUCCUCUGUCCUAGACCCUGAACCCACCUCCCUGGUGCACCACCCACCUCACUUCAAUCAAACAGCUGUAGAACCCCAUACUUUGUAACAGGCCACCUUGGUAUAUAGAUGUAUCCUGAAUGUGUGUGUCCAGAAUGAUGCAGCCAGGCCAUGUUUGGUCCUGGACCUGUUUGCGACCUCAUGCAUCCUUUUUAGUUUGUGUUGUGGGGAAAUUACGAGUAUCUUAUUAUAAUAAACAUAUUUUAGUAUGAAUGAUUUUGAUUAUUGCGAGGUCACAGCUUUCCAAAACAGUUGACCUCAGGUCUUUAUGGUUACACAAUUCCACCUACAGUUGGCCUAAUAAAUGACUGUGGUGUUAUUAAUAAAGUCAAAACCUCCUCAGACUAGAUCCAGAAAUGUGUCAAUUCAUUUCCAAGGUUCAUCAUCCACAAGGCCUCAAUAUUACAAAUGGUUAAGGUUUCGUGCACUGAAUGUGAGUACCAUGUAUGAGCACUUUAUAAAUUCAAUAACAUAUUGUUACUAUUGCCAUUGCAUGAAGGCCUUUUAAUAAGGUGUUAUUGUGGCACAUACAAACAUCUACCUAUCAAGCUCUCUCUCUCUCAUGCAUCUUACUGUAUAUUUACAGUUAAUUGUACUGUUCUUUUAUAGUAUUACAUUCAUCUAG
rnacentral:lncRNA from 1 species